rnacentral:rRNA from 1 species
ACGCUCACACCUACGGGAGCAGCAGUGGGGGAUAUUGCACAAUGGGGGAAACCCUGAUGCAGCAACGCCGCGUGAGGGAAGAAGGUUUUCGGAUUGUAAACCUCUGUCCUUGGUGACGAUAAUGACGGUAGCCAAGGAGGAAGCUCCGGACUAACUACGUGCCAGCAGCCGCGGUAAUCUGAGGCGGGCUGGCAAGGC